AGGUGGAUCUGCACCGUGUUGCCAUCAAAGAAGACUGUAACUGUGUAGUUGGACUGCGAUAUUUUAGCAGUCACUCCGCUCUGAUCCUUGGUGCACGAUCACAUGGUCCAAGAAGCUGACGUCCUUGCGGCGCCGCUCCUUGAAUACGCCCUGGAUCCGGACGUUUGGGACGGCCUCAGACUUCAUCAGAGUGUAUCCGCAUCGGUCAGUCACAGUGUGAACCCGGCCGACAAAAUCGAUGACCGUGGAGGCGGUCAAAGUGCACAUGGCGUCAAAGGCGCAGCUGAUGGAAUAGAUACAGUUUCGGAAUGAAGAGGAGCAAUCUUUAUGUGGUCUUACCUGUCUGAAGGCCAAGCACUGCCAGGUAGAGAAGGAAGC